UGCGACGUCUCUCGAAUGUCUAAACGACUCUCGGCAACGGAUAUCUCGGCUCUCGCAUCGAUGAAGAACGUAGCGAAAUGCGAUACUUGGUGUGAAUUGCAGAAUCCCGUGAACCAUCGAGUCUUUGAACGCAAGUUGCGCCCGAAGCCAUUCGGCCGAGGGCACGCCUGCCUGGGCGUCA
rnacentral:rRNA from 1 species